rnacentral:tRNA from 1 species
UCCCUGAUAGCUCAGUUGGUAAAGAAUCUGCCUGCAAUGCAGGAGACCCUGGUUCGAUCCCUGGGUUGGGAA